rnacentral:rRNA from 1 species
AGGACGAACGCUGGCGGCGUGCUUAACACAUGCAAGUCGAACGGUAAGGCCCUUCGGGGUACACGAGUGGCGAACGGGUGAGUAACACGUGGGUGAUCUGCCCUGCACUUCGGGAUAAGCUUGGGAAACUGGGUCUAAUACCGGAUAUGACUACGAAUCGCAUGGUUUGUGGUGGAAAGCUUUUGCGGUGUGGGAUGGGCCCGCGGCCUAUCAGCUUGUUGGUGGGGUGAUGGCCUACCAAGGCGACGACGGGUAGCCGGCCUGAGAGGGUGUCCGGCCACACUGGGACUGAGAUACGGCCCAGACUCCUACGGGAGGCAGCAGUGGGGAAUAUUACACAAUGGGCGCAAGCCUGAUGCAGCGACGCCGCGUGAGGGAUGACGGCCUUCGGGUUGUAAACCGUCUUUCUAGUAUCGACGAAGCGCAAGUGACGGUAGGUACAGAAGAAGGACCGGCCAACUACGUGCCAGCAGCCGC